rnacentral:rRNA from 1 species
UACGUAGGGUGCAAGCGUUAAUCGGAAUUACUGGGCGUAAAGCGUGCGCAGGCGGUGAUGUAAGACAGUUUGAAAUCCCCGGGCUCAACCUGGGAACUGCAUCUGUGACUGCAUUGCUGGAGUGCGGCAGAGGGGGAUGGAAUUCCGCGUGUAGCAGUGAAAUGCGUAGAUAUGCGGAGGAACACCGAUGGCGAAGGCAAUCCCCUGGGCCUGCACUGACGCUCAUGCACGAAAGCGUGGGGAGCAAACAGG